UCCAGCAACAAUGACAGCAAUAACAACAACAACAAAUAACAAGGGCAACAAAAAGGAAAAAAAAAGCCUCCAGGAGCAGUAGAUUCAUAGUGCAGGUAAAACAUAAAAAUUUAAAACUAAAUAAAGAAAAACAGGCGGGGCCACGAGCAGCAGCAGAUCUCUUUCUCUCCUCCCUCUCCCGAGUCAACUAGGAAUACCAAAGGAGACCACCUGGGACCAAAACAAGACAGGACUAGAACGACUACAGGAACCCACCAAAUCACCAAUCGCAACCCAAUCAACGCAACGAGUGCCACCCCAGCAUGCUUCAUUUCAGACUGUCUCCAGAGACUUCAGGUGUGGAAUGACAACCCAUCAGCUUCAUCACUCGGCCCCCAGGUUCUGGAUGCCACACGAUGCCGACAAGACUUCCCUGGACAGACAACCCCACCAAUGUGUACUGGAGCUCCACUUCCCCAGAGACCCACCCUACUAGGUAAAGAGAGAGGCAUACUGGGAGUAUGGAUCGACCAGUCAAUGCCCAUGUUCAGCAGGGAAGCAGUUACAGAAGCCAGACCUUCCACCUUCUGCAACCCACAAUGACCUUGGGUCCAUGCUCCCAGAGGGAUAGAGAACUGGAAAGCUAUCAGGGGAGGGGAGGGGAUAUGGAGAUCAGGUGUUGGGAAUUGUGUGGAACUGUACCCCUCUUAUCCUAUGGUUUUGUUAAUGUCUCCUUUCUUAAAUAAAAAAAUAAAUAAGUCAGAAACAGAAGGAUGAAUAUGGGAUGAUCUCACUCUCAGGCAGAAGUUGAAAAACAAGAUCAGAAAAGAAAACAGAAAUAGAGCCCAAAAUGGAAUUGGCAUAUAGCAACAAAGUAAAAGACUCUGGGGUGGGUGGGUGGGGAGAAUACAGGUCCAUGAAGGAUGAUAGAGGACCUAGUGGGGGAAACUGGGAAACUGGGGAAUGUUGUGCAUGUACAAACUAUUGUAUUUACUGUUGAAUGUAAAACAUUAAUUCCCCAAUAAAGAAAUAAAAUAAUAAAAAAUAAAAAAUAAAAAUAAAUUAAAAAUUAAAAAAUAAUAAAAUGAAAAUAAAAGAAAAGAAAUGCAGAAACAACCGAUGAGACUCUGGAAGAAAACACUAUCACAAGGUUAUUAGAGAGCUCAAAGCUGAAAUAGCUAAGGACACAACUAGCUGAACAAGCUAAAACAGUAUCAGAACAGGGUAACAAAAUAGAUAAACUCCAGAAAACAGUA